rnacentral:rRNA from 1 species
GCCUGAUCCAGCAUGCCGCGUGUGUGAUGAAGGCCUUCGGGUUGUAAAGCUCUUUUGUCCGGAAAGAAAUUGACUUGGCUAAUACCUGGGGGGGAUGACGGUUCCGGGAGAAUAACCACCGGCUAACUACGGGGGCUCAGCCGCGGCAGUAUUACUGGUGCUAAAGGUAAUCGAAAUUACUGGGCGUAUAGCGUGCGCAAGCCGGUGUCUAAGACUGAUGUGUGAUCCCCGUGCUGAACCUGUGAAUUGCAUUGGAGACUGGUGGGCUUGAGUGUGUAAAAGGGGGGUUCAAUUACAUUUGGAAGAAUGCCAUGGGUAAAGGCGUCUAACAGGACCGAUGGUGAAGGCGGCCCCCUGGAGCUUGACUGACGCUCAUGAUUAAAUACCCUGGGAGCAAACACGAUUAAAUACCCUGGUAAUCCGUCCCCUAGACGAUGUCUCUAGUUGUUGGGUCUUUUUUCCUUAUUAACGCUGGGGACACGGGCUUUGACCUCCUGUGGAAUACAGUGGCGGGAUUAAAACUCUAUGAAUUGUCGGGGAG